rnacentral:antisense_RNA from 1 species
CUUCAGGGAGCCCAGCCACAGCGGCCGCUCCGCGUCGCGGUCCUGCCCGUACGCGGCAAGGAUCGCCUGUGCCUC